AGUGAACGCUGGCGGUAGGCCUAACACAUGCAACUCGAACGGCAGCACAGUAAGAGCUUGCUCUUACGGGUGGCGAGUGGCGGACGGUUGAGGAAUACAUCGGAAUCUACUUUUUCGUGGGGGAUAACGUAGGGAAACUUACGCUAAUACCGCAUACGACCUACGGGUGAAAGCAGGGGAUCUUCGGACCUUGCGCGAUUGAAUGAGCCGAUGUCGGAUUAGCUAGUUGGCGGGGUAAAGGCCCACCAAGGCGACGAUCCGUAGCUGGUCUGAGAGGAUGAUCAGCCACACUGGAACUGAGACACGGUCCAGACUCCUACGGGAGGCAGCAGUGGGGAAUAUUGGACAAUGGGCGCAAGCCUGAUCCAGCCAUACCGCGUGGGUGAAGAAGGCCUUCGGGUUGUAAAGCCCUUUUGUUGGGAAAGAAAAGCAGCAGGUUAAGACCCCGCUGUUCUGACGGUACCCAAAGAAUAAGCACCGGCUAACUUCGU
rnacentral:rRNA from 1 species